AUGAAAGUUGCUCUUGCUCUCUCUCUCUAAUUUUUUGUUAUAAUGGCCCAAUAUUGGACAUAGAAAUAGUGGGUGUCUGUCCAUUUCAAAUAGAACAGUUGCAUUAGCUCAUGAAGCCCAUCUGUGCAUACUCUGGGCCUGUCCCAGUUUUGGCUACUGCUGUUCGGAAUAUUGAUCAUCUAAUUACUUAUUUACUUGAAAGCUCUUCCUCAU
rnacentral:lncRNA from 1 species